UGGGGAAUAUUGGGCAAUGGGCGAAAGCCUGACCCAGCAACGCCGCGUGAAGGAAGAAGGUCUUUGGAUUGUAAACUUUUGUCCUAUGGGAAGAAGGAAGUGACGGUACCAUGGGAGGAAGCCCCGGCUAACUACGUGCCAGCAGCCGCGGUAAUACGUAGGGGCGAGCGUUGUCCGGAAUUACUGGGCGUAAAGGGCGCGCAGGCGGCCGAUCAAGUUAGAUGUGAAAUACCUGGGCUUAACCUGGGAACUGCAUUUAAAACUGGUUGGCUAGGAGUGCAGGAGAGGGAAGCGGAAUUCCUAGUGUAGCGGUGAAAUGCGUAGAUAUUAGGAGGAACACCAGUGGCGAAGGCGGCUUUCUGGACUCUAACUGACGCUGAGGCGCGAAAGCGUGGGGAGCGAACAGGAUUAGAUACC
rnacentral:rRNA from 1 species